rnacentral:misc_RNA from 1 species
CUGCGUCAUAGACCACAAGCCCAAGUCCCAACUCCCAAGGGAAAAAACUGUCCACAAGAGUUCAACAAAUCACUCUCUCCGAUGAGAUCCUCGUGUACAAGAUCAUCAUAUCUACUGCACGACACAAUGCAUUUUGUACCGGACACUUUAUUCUAUUCUAAAUUUCUAGCUGAAUUAUCUCCAUCCCCAUUGAUGGUUUCAGGCGCUAAGAACCACACAGUUGAGCAGACUCUCACUCCCCAGGAACAGGCACACCGGUCAAGUGACUUGAACUUGGUUCCGCAGGAAGGGCCUUCAGUCCUUUGGUUGAAGAAGACUGAUGUGGUGCCGCAACCUCUACAUCCCGAGCCGAAUGCCAUGGAGCAGCCUCUGGCGAAACAAAGCACUGGUAUGUAUAAAAGAAUCUGUCAUGUUACACUUGCUAUCCAUCCUACAGCGCGUACAUCUUCGUCUUGUACUCGCUGUUAAGUAUCUCCUCGUCCGAGUCGACUGAUCGGGACCACGAGCCGCGGGACUGGCUCGCGGAGGCCCUCCUGAUCUUCCUGGUGUUCUUCUCCUCCAGCCUGUGCGCGAUGAUGCAGUAGCACAUGGAGCCGAGGGUGGUGAGCAUGAUCGCGGCGCCGAUGCCCAUGGUGCACCAGGCCAGCCACCAGUCGUCGCGCCCCACCACCACGUAGGUCAGCGCGAUGAAGGCCACCGAGAUGAAGAGGCACGCCAGCCACAUGAGCUUGUUCAUCACGAACACCAUCCGCUUCUUCGCCCUCCGCUCCACCAUGAUCAGCGAGGUCUGCACCACGACCACCACGAGCGAGAUGAAGAGGGCCAGCGCGUGGACAUCCAGCGGCGGUAGUGUGCAAUCAGGGUCAGGGCAGGCGCAUGGGCGACGCGCUCCAUGCCAUCUAGGGGAGCUCUCGCGGCGGGGGCAUCGCAUGAUGUGGGGCGGACGGGGGCGGGGGCACGGGGUUCGAGAGUGGGAUUUGGAGAUCUCGACGGAGGGUGUCUAGGGUUCACGAGCGGGAUUCGGAGGGCAGAUAGAAGGGAAACCGAGGGAGGAUGACGGAGCGGGGUGG